rnacentral:rRNA from 1 species
GAUGAACGCUGGCGGCGUGCUUAACACAUGCAAGUCGAACGAAGCGCUUUAUUUGAUUUCCUUCGGGACUGAUUAUUUUGUGACUGAGUGGCGGACGGGUGAGUAACGCGUGGGUAACCUGCCUUGUACAGGGGGAUAACAGUUGGAAACGGCUGCUAAUACCGCAUAAGCGCACGGCAUCGCAUGAUGCAGUGUGAAAAACUCCGGUGGUAUAAGAUGGACCCGCGUUGGAUUAUCUAGUUGGUGAGGUAACGGCCCACCAAGGCGACGAUCCAUAGCCGACCUGAGAGGGUGACCGGCCACAUUGGGACUGAGACACGGCCCAAACUCCUACGGGAGGCAGCAGUGGGGAAUAUUGCACAAUGGGCGAAAGCCUGAUGCAGCGACGCCGCGUGAGCGAAGAAGUAUUUCGGUAUGUAAAGCUCUAUCAGCAGGGAAGAUAAUGACGGUACCUGACGAAGAAGCACCGGCUAAAUACGUG